UGGUUUUUCAAGACAGGGUUUCUCUGUGUAGCUUUGCUCCUUUCCUGGAACUCACUUGGCAGUCCAGGCUGGCCUCGAACUCACAGAGAUCCGCCUGCCUCUGCCUCCCGAGUGCUGGGAUUAAAGGCGUGAGCCACCACCGCCCGGCUUUUUGUUAAAGCAAACAAAAUAUCACCACAAACAACACCCCAGCAAGCAAUCACUUCUGCAGCAGACCUCAGCAGAGUGUCCUCUGAUUCAGCUCAACUCUGACAUUAUCUGCUUGGAGACCAUCAGAUCCCACAGGUUGAGGGCUGAGUCCCAAACAUUGUCUCACUUCUGGUACAAAUGUCAAGCCCUAGUCUAUUUUACCAGGGUUUCCAACAGACCAUUGGUAAGGCAACUGUAUUAGUCUUUUUUUUUUUUUUUUUUUUUUUUUUGCUGCUAUGACAGAAUACCAGAGCUCAAGAGAUGACUCAGUUGUUAAGGGCACUCAUCUCAUAGCUCUCGUAAAGAAUGUAGGUUCAGUUCUUAACACCCAUAUUAGUUUGCUCACAAUGGCCUAAAACUCAAUUCCAGGAAAUCUGACACUCUCUUCUGGCUUCCACAGGCACUUGCAUGCAAGUGGUUUAUGCAGGCACACACAUAUAUACAUACUAUUAAAACCCAGGCUAGGCACUUUACAAAGAAAAGGGGUUUAUUUAGCCUCGUCACGGGAGUUCAAGGGUAUGGUGCCAGCUCCUGCUCCUCUCUUGUGAGGUUGUCCUAGCAGAUGACCUCACAAUGGCAGGAGUGCAAGAAUGGCCACAUAACGAAACAGGAGGCAGACAGCGGAGAGGAGCCACUUUUCCUCUUUAAUGGUAGCUCGCUCUGUGGGAACUAAUUCACUCUGUAAGACCAGCAUUAACACUUUCAAAGGGCAUCAUCCCAAUGACCUCUUUAUUAUGCAAUAAACCUGCCUCUUAAAAAUUUCACCACCGCCGGGCGGUGGUGGCGCACGCCUUUAAUCCCAGCACUCGGGAGGCAGAGCCAGGCGGAUCUCUGUGAGUUCGAGGCCAGCCUGGUCUCCAAAGCGAGUUCCAGGAAAGGCGCAAAGCUACACAGAGAAACCCUGUCUCGAAAAACCAAAAAAAAAAAAAAAAAAAAUUUCACCACCACUUAAUGUUGCUAUUUUGGGGACAAAGCUUCUAACACAGGAACCUUCAGGGGAUGCACUCAAGCUAUAUCCAAACCACAGCAGCAAGUAAAAGGACUUUGCCUACACCACUGACUAUAAUAGUGAGAGAGAAAUGUGAACCCCUCAGUAGAGGAACAAUAAAUGGGCUGUAGCUUACCUCUACAAUUAAAUAAAGUAUCAGGAAAAGUGAGCCAGAUUUAAUGUAUUGUCACAAGUGAAUCUCAGAAACAUGAUGCCUACAAAAAGAGACUAAAUACAGUAUGCUUAUGUAAAAAUUUUAAAUGUAUAAAAGAAUAUUGUGUAUGGGGACACGUGCAAUGAUGUACUACCUAAAAACAUGCUUAGGGGUUGUUUUAGUCACUGUUCUAUGCUGUGAAGCAACACCAUGACCAAGGCAACUCUUAUGAAAGGAAGCAUUUAUUUGGGAGCUUGCUUACAGAAUUAGAGGCGUAGUCCAGUAUUAUCAGCAGGAAGCAUAGCAAGCAUGGUGCUGAGAGUUAUAUCCUGAUCUGCAAGCAAAGCAAGAACCUGGGCUUAGCAGGGCUUUUGAAACCUCAAAGCCACCCCUAGUGACACACUUCCUCCAACAAGGCCACACCACUUAAUCCUAUCAAAGUGUUCCACUCCCUGGUAACUAAGAAUUCAAACAUAUGAGCCUAUGGGGGCCAUUCUUAUUUAAGCCACCACAAUGGUAGGUUUACAUGUUUGAAUAUUUAGUUACCAGUUGGUGGAACUGUUUGGGAAGGAUUAAGAGGUGUGGCCUUGUUGGAGGAGGUGUGUCAAUGGGGGUGUGCUUUGAGGUCUCAAAAGCCCUCACCAUUCCCUGUUACCCUCUCUGCUUCAUGCUUGUCGAUGAGAUGUGAGCUUUCAGCUGCUGCUCCAGCACCAUGCCUGCCUGCCUGCCUAUGCCAUGAUCUCUGCCAUGAUGGUCAUGGACUUACCCCCUGAAACUGUAAGCCCCCAGUAACUUCCUUCUUCAGGUUGCCUUGGUGAUGUUGUAUCUUCACAGCAACAGAAAGGUUACUAAGACAGGGAUGACCCACCAGCCUCGUGUAAUUGAUAUCUCAGAGGGUCAGAGGGAAGAAGUAGGAAAGAGUUCUGGAUAUUCCUGUAUUUUAUGUGGAAUAAAAUAAACAAAUAACCAAAGAAAAGUAGAUUGAGCUGGGGGAAGAAUUUUAAAACCAAAUUUAAUUUUUCUUCUCCAGUUUUUAGUUUAAAAAUUUAAUGCCAUAAUUUUGAUGACAAUGUAAAUAGGUCUCAAACUGUAGAUGUAUAAGUGGUAUAAUAUGCUCCAAUUUGUCCUAAUUUUCCAUACAAAAAGCAUGUAGAAAGAUUGUUCUAAGCUCCGAGGCUGACUAGCUGACAGUGCUACCCAGGUCUUGAGAGGUUGAAAUGUGGUUUGUCUAGACUGAGGUGUGUUCAAGAUGCAAAACACAACCAGAUUCUUUGAAAUCUCCUACAUUUCCCCCAAAGAGCAGAACACAGACUUGGAUUAAGGAGUGGCGAUUGCAGAGACAGUAGCCAGCAGCAUCCAAGGCACCUAGUGGUGAUGGAGCUGGCUGACAUCUGCUGGCGAAGAGAGAAUGGACUCAAUCAGAAGGGUGCUGCAGGGGUGGCAGGCUCCCUGGAGGGAGUUCCGGGGCUCAGUGAGCCCCUCAUUGGAAGAGAGUAGGGAUAUAAUUGGAGAAAAGGGCACAUUUAGAACCUUGAGGGAUCUUGAACAAGUGAUGAACAGACAUCUGAACAUCUGUCUUCAAGAAUAGUCAAGGCUAUCCCACUGUCUACCUGCAAUCUGGUCUGUAAAACUCUCACAAAUGCCAUACAAAGACAAGCUUGAGUUCUACCUUGUUCCAAGCCCCAGGAAGACCACUGACUCUCCAACUCUUUCUGGAGGGAGCAGACAGCUCUGAUCUGAAUACAGAAGUCUUUUAAGGUUCAUCUUCCCACCUGAAAGUGACUGUUUUCAUUUUUAAGACCUACACACACACACACACACACACACACACACACACACACACACACACACACACACUCAAGACCAAUUAGCUUUGAUGGCCUGACUCGAGGACCAUAGUUAGAUCCACACCUUGAUCAAAUGAUAAGUAACAAAGGACAUGACCAUUUGUGCCUAGACAUGCUUUUGUCUCCAGAGAACCUUGAGAUGGUUCCUGGUGGGAACACCAGAGCUCUGAGCUUGGUGACAUCCUGCAGCAGUGUGAGUAGGUGGCUGCACAGUGGCAGCUGAGCUUCAGUGUGGGAGAGGCAAAGUCACGCAUUUAAGGAAAAAAUAACCUGAAUUACACUUUAAAAAGCAGGAGGGGCUGUCAUGGGCAGGCCCCCGCAGACCCUCCUCCAGGGCAGUUCCUGUUCCUAUGGAGGGAUGGGGUGGGGUGCAGUUGGGAAGUGCUGCAGCAAAGGGAAAUUGAGGAUCUGGGAAUUCAAAGACCUCUGCUGGGAAGGGACUCGGGAUGUAUGAGCACACAUGGCCUACUGUGUGCUUGGCCUUAUUGCCCAAGGCUGGGACAAUUUCCCUCUUCUCUGUACCUGACUGAGAUCUCAGAAGCUGGCUGGUUCUACUCCUGGAGGGAAAGAAUGUUUUCCACGGAGGCACUUGGCCCAGAGCCACAGAGAAGAAAGCAGACAUCUGUUUCCUCUGCUGACUUUGGUCAUCUUUACACUUCCAUGCCAACACUGAAUCUGCACACAGUAAGUACCCCUACAAGUGCCCUCCGUGAAUGAAUACAAGUGGAUGCUGCCAACAACAAAAGUCCCCAAGUCCAUUAAACACUUGAGAGCAUCACAAAGUCCAUUCCUUGUCAGUGUUUGUCCAUUAGCCCACCCAUUCCUCCAACCAACACCUACAUCCUACUGUGCAUCCUACUGCUGAGGAAUAUUUAACUAUGUAAAGAUGUGUUGCAUUUGUUUUACUAUGUAAAGAUGUGUUGCAUUUGUUUAAUCAUAUAAAGAUGUGUUGCUGUUUUACCUUGCCUGCUUAAGGCACCUGAUUGGUCUAAUAAAAAGCUGAAUGGCCAA